rnacentral:rRNA from 1 species
CCUACGGGAGGCAGCAGUGAGGAAUAUUGGUCAAUGGCCGGAAGGCUGAACCAGCCAUGCCGCGUGAAGGUCAGUGCCCUAUGGGCGUUAAACUUCUUUUGUGCGGGAGCAAUAAUGGUCACGUGUGGCCAGACGAGAGUACCGUACGAAUAAGCAUCGGCUAACUCCGUGCCCGCAGCCGCGGUAAUACGGGGGCUGCAAGCGUUUGCCGGAUUUAUUGGGUGUAAAGGGGGCGUAGGCUGUGCGGUAAGUCAGCGGUCAAAGCCCGGGGCUCAACCCCGCCCCGCCGUUGAAACUGGAAGUCGCGAGUUGGAGAGAGGUAUGCGGAAUGCGCGGUGUAGCGGUGAAAUGCAUAGAUAUCGCGCAGAACUCCGAUUGCGAAGGCAGCAUGCCGGCUCCACACUGACGCUGAGGCACGAAAGCGUGGGUAUCGAACAGGAUUAGAUACCCCUGUAGUC